GAUGAACGCUGGCGGCGUGCCUAAUACAUGCAAGUCGAGCGAACAGACGAGGAGCUUGCUCCUCUGACGUUAGCGGCGGACGGGUGAGUAACACGUGGAUAACCUACCUAUAAGACUGGGAUAACUUCGGGAAGCCGGAGCUAAUACCGGAUAAUAUAUUGAACCGCAUGGUUCAAUAGUGAAAGACGGUUUUGCUGUCACUUAUAGAUGGAUCCGCGCCGCAUUAGCUAGUUGGUAAGGUAACGGCUUACCAAGGCAACGAUGCGUAGCCGACCUGAGAGGGUGAUCGGCCACACUGGAACUGAGACACGGUCCAGACUCCUACGGGAGGCAGCAGUAGGGAACCUUCCGCAAUGGGCGAAAGCCUGACGGAGCAACGCCGCGUGAGUGAUGAAGGUCUUCGGAUCGUAAAACUCUGUUAUUAGGGAAGAACAAAUGUGUAAGUAACUAUGCACGUCUUGACGGUACCUAAUCAGAAAGCCACGGCUAACUACGUG
rnacentral:rRNA from 1 species